rnacentral:rRNA from 1 species
AAGUCCCUACGGGAGGCAGCAGUAGGGAAUCUUCGGCAAUGGGGGCAACCCUGACCGAGCAACGCCGCGUGAGUGAAGAAGGUUUUCGGAUCGUAAAGCUCUGUUGUAAGAGAAGAACGUGUGUGAGAGUGGAAAGUUCACACAGUGACGGUAACUUACCAGAAAGGGACGGCUAACUACGUGCCAGCAGCCGCGGUAAUACGUAGGUCCCGAGCGUUAUCCGGAUUUAUUGGGCGUAAAGCGAGCGCAGGCGGUUGGAUUAGUCUGAAGUUAAAUGCUGUGGCUUAACCAUUGUAUGCUUUGGG